rnacentral:tRNA from 1 species
GGGGGUUUGGUGAAGUGGUAUCACAAAUGUCUCCAAAACAUUUGUCAGGGGUUCGAUUCCCUUAACCCCCGCCA